rnacentral:rRNA from 1 species
GAUGAACGCUGGCGGCGUGCCUAAUACAUGCAAGUCGAGCGAACAGACGAGGAGCUUGCUCCUCUGAUGUUAGCGGCGGACGGAUGAGUAACACGUGGAUAACCUACCUAUAAGACUGGGAUAACUUCGGGAAACCGGAGCUAAUACCGGAUAACAUGUUGAACCGCAUGGUUCAACAGUGAAAGACGGUCUUGCUGUCACUUAUAGAUGGAUCCGCGCCGCAUUAGCUAGUUGGUAAGGUAACGGCUUACCAAGGCAACGAUGCGUAGCCGACCUGAGAGGGUGAUCGGCCACACUGGAACUGAGACACGGUCCAGACUCCUACGGGAGGCAGCAGUAGGGAAUCUUCCGCAAUGGGCGAAAGCCUGACGGAGCAACGCCGCGUGAGUGAAGAAGGUCUUCGGAUCGUAAAACUCUGUUAUUAGGGAAGAACAAAUGUGUAAGUAACUAUGCACGUCUUGACGGUACCUAAGCAGAAAGCCACGGCUAACUACGU